GAUGAGAUGGACUAUAUCUCUCUCCAAGAGGUAAGAGUCUGUUCUCUUACAGGUUGGCUGAUCUCCUAUGCAGGGCUUUAAACUAGAUUCAUUGGGGACAGGGAUUUUGACGACAGAGCGAGGCCAGGAAUGAUAAAUCAAGAGCCAGGCACUGGAACAGUCCAGUGUCAAAAGCAGACCUUGUUGAAAAAGACACAGCUGUAUCCAUGACUGAAUUUGGUUCCCUGUGAAUAACAAUAAAGGAGAAAAGAGAGCAUGUCUACUAAACUUCAAGGAAGCAUUAUUUAAGAAGAGUGAAGAAAUUACUUUAUGCCUUAAAGCAAUUCAUCAGCAUGCAAGUGUUCUUGGAUCAGUUCCAGCAACCAGUAGGAAGAUGUGAACCAUACUGAUACACAGCUGGGUCAUAAGGAAACCCUGCUAAAGUCAACAACAUACAUUUUCCCAGCAAGAAGCCAGAGGGAAACAAGAUGAGCCAAGGAGCCUGCCACACCUAUUGGAGAAAUGACGACUUGAAUUAUUAUUUUUGCUUUAGAGAGGGUGUUGGUUACUCAGCAAUGAGAAAGAAAUGACCCCUACAUUACAUGUUGACUUAAGAAAGCAGGAGCAACAAGAAAUCAGACUCACCCCUUCCCAUUUUUUUAAAGAGAAUACAUAGCCACAAAUUGGAUGGAUUUUUGGCUAUUCUUUCUGAUACUGAUGAAAAGGAAUUCAAUUAACUCAACCUGGGCCAAAUUCUCUGAUGCCAGAUGUGUCCCUGUUUCUUCUCUGUCAGAUGCAAGAGUUUUUUGGUGAUAUAUUUUAUUGGGCCAAUUGUGUAUUUGGGUGAGAUGUUAGAGAAGCUUCCAUGCCUUUCUGUGCCUCAGAUCCAUGCCUUUCUUUUUCUUUACUUGGAAAACCAUGUAUGGAGCCCUGAGUACUGCAUAAAAAUACUGAUUCAGUGCAUCUAAGAAGCACUGUAAGUAAAAUCUCCUGAUGUCUUUAGUGACAGCCCAUUUUCUGCCUUAGAUAUUGGACCAUUCAAUGAUGCAUCUAGCCAACUUGGGAAGAAAUGUAAAAGGACCAUGAGGUUUGAAUGGAUUUUUUCAUUGCUAUGUAGAAGUACAUGUAUUCCCCCAACACUAAGAUAUUUUCAGGCUGUUUUCUGUACUACAAUUUUAAAUGAUGAACAUUUCCUUGUGAGGGAGCUGCCAUUAUCUUUCUGUCCAGAUAUGGAAUGCUGCUACAAAAUAAGCCUUUAUAAUUUUCUUUCUCCACUAAAGAGUUUUUGUUCUUUUUUGAAGUUUUGUGAUUUUUUCUUCAUCUGAACUGAAAAAAGUGGGUGCUUCCUUCCUAGGUACAAAAACACAACAAACAGAGCUAUGAGAUGCAGAAGGUUCAGACACCCAAGAAAGCUUCCUUCCCUACUAAGUUGGUUUGGUACUAUCUUGGACCUUGCCUAUUCAUGUCAGACUGUACAAAGGGAAGGAAAUAAAUUACUCAGUUAGUAUGAUAAGUGUUUUAUUCUGACUUUCAUAGGUGCAAGGAUGUGUUAAAAAAGUGAAAGUCUAUGGAGAAUGAGGGCUUCAGUUUCACAAAAAACACCAACUGGAGAAUGUCAAGAGCUUCUCACUGUGUUUGGAACUUCACAGUUUGAGUGGGUCAACAGAGCAUCAUGUACAACCCAAUAUCAUUUGCAAGGUUGCUGAAGAUUAAAGAACUCAAAAGUCUAUUUAAACCUAGAAUUGGGAAGCAUUCAGAACUCUCUGUAACAAAGAAUAUAAGGGGCCUUGAAUAUAAG